GAUGAACGCUAGCGGCAGGCCUAACACAUGCAAGUCGAGGGGUAGAGUUCUUCGGAACUUGAGACCGGCGCACGGGUGCGUAACGCGUAUGCAAUCUACCUUAUACAGGGGAAUAGCCCAGAGAAAUUUGGAUUAAUGCCCCAUAGUAUUAUUGAACGGCAUCAUUUGAUAUUAAAGUUCCAACGGUAUAAGAUGAGCAUGCGUCCCAUUAGUUAGUUGGUAAGGUAACGGCUUACCAGGACAAUGAUGGGUAGGGGGCCUGAGAGGGUGGUCCCCCACACUGGUACUGAGACACGGACCAGACUCCUACGGGAGGCAGCAGUGAGGAAUUUUGGACAAUGGGCGCAAGCCUGAUCCAGCAAUGCCGCGUGCAGGAAGAAGGCCUUCGGGUUGUAAACUGCUUUUGUACGGAACGAAAAGGUCUGGGUUAAUACCCUGGGCUCAUGACGGUACCGUAAGAAUAAGCACCGGCUAACUACGUG
rnacentral:rRNA from 1 species